rnacentral:misc_RNA from 1 species
AAGUCCUCGUCAUUACACAAGCAGCACGCACGUCUGAGCUGACCCCACUCCGUCAGUGAGCUCAUCCAGGCUCGUGCAGUGCCUCAACAGCAACGAAAAACGUAUAUCAUCUGCUUUUUAUUCCUGCAGGGGGUGGGUCGCACUGUGCCAGCUGUGCACUCAUACACGACGCAUCUGUCACGUAGCCGAUCAAACACAGAGACCUAGAGGUGGAGGACAGGCUUGGGCCGGGUGCGCACACACAUACAUACGCGUACGCCCGCGCACUCACCCCGUUUGACCUUGCCAGCACGCAGCUCUCGUACGUCAUUGACGGACGUGCCGCAACGUGCGAUUCGAACACCAUUUUCGUUGUCAUCGCUGCAGUCCCCCGCUCAUCUUUGUUCGCUGCCCCGCCCGCCCCCGCCUCAUACACACGGUCACGCUCUUCGCUGUCACUCGGUGCGCUCGACGUGCCGGCGCUUGUCUUUGCCUCAGCGCACACGAGCGGAGGUGCAUUUGUGCGCCGCUGUUGACCGCCUUGUGCUUCACGCGUCCACUAUCUCUGCUGCUGCUGCUAAACCUCUUCCCGCCACCCGUCUUGUGCGGUACAUCUUCGUUGCUCUGGGGAGGGGGAGCGGUCCUUCCGUCCCGCUCCGCUGCGCUGACCUUCUCCUCAUCUCUCUGGUCUCUCUCUCUCUCUGUAGAGUCCUCAAGUGUACGGCACCCGUGGCCUUUGUGUGCGUGCGUGGCGUGUGUGCGGCGGGUACUCGUUCGUGCACGGCCUUUCCCAUUCCCUCGCCGCUUCGAUUAUCCGCCACUACUAUGUCAUCCAUCGGUCGCGCCCCGACGACGACGGCGGGGGCUUCCGCUUCGACACGGAAGUUCAAACUAGUCCUGCUCGGGGAGAGUGGCGUCGGCAAGUCGUCCGUCGUGCAGCGUCUCAUGAAGAAUGCCUUUAGCGAGAAGCUGAACAGCACCGUCGGCGCCUCCUUCUUUCGGUACACGUGCAACGUGGACGACGACACCGCCGUUCACUUCGAUAUAUGGGACACGGCAGGGCAGGAGCGCUUUAAGAGUUUAGCUUCUAUGUACUACCGCGGUGCCGCUGCGGCGCUCGUCGUGUUCGACAUUGUCUCCGCCGAUACGUUCGAGAAGGCAAGGUACUGGAUUCGCGAGCUGCAAGCCAACUCGCCAGAGACGAUUGUGAUGCUGGUAGGCAACAAGAAGGACUUGGAGAGCGAGCGGCAGGUUUCUUUGGCAGAUGCGCAGCAGUGCGCGGUGGAGAUGGGUGCCAUGUACCACGAGACUAGCGCGCGCAGCGGCGACGGGGUUCAGGAUGCGUUCCAUGCCGUCGCCGCGAAACUGAUCGAGACAAACAGCACCUUCAACGUGCGCGAGGGCGGUGUUAUGUGCCAUGCAGAGAACGCGGCACCGCGUCAAGAGAAUCGAUGCUGCUAGAUGGGUGCCACGGGGGUGGUACUGAUAGCAGCAUAACGCAUCUGCAGCCCACCCUUAUCUGUGCUUCCCCCUCUUUGCUUUCGCACCCCCGCACCCAUUUCCUCAACGCUCAUGCGGGCGGGCGGGCGUGCGCCUCGGCGCCUCGCUUCGCAGAAGUAACACGUCGAUACGACGAGCUGUAUCAUGCCGUCUUGUGCUGUCCACUACGGUCUCACCAGACUUCUCUCUCCCCGCACUCCCCCCGCCGCCGGCCCUCUAACGCCAUCGCUUCUCGGCGGCCUCAAUCAUCUUUUCGACGUGUGUGCGGCGCGCUAUUUUAUCUAUGCUCAUGUUUCAGCAUCUCUGUACC